rnacentral:rRNA from 1 species
GAUGAACGCUGGCGGCGUGCCUAAUACAUGCAAGUCGAGCGAACAGACGAGGAGCUUGCUCUUCUGACGUUAGCGGCGGACGGGUGAGUAACACGUGGAUAACCUACCUAUAAGACUGGGAUAACUUCGGGAAACCGGAGCUAAUACCGGAUAAUAUAUUGAACCGCAUGGUUCAAUAGUGAAAGACGGUUUUGCUGUCACUUAUAGAUGGAUCCGCGCCGCAUUAGCUAGUUGGUAAGGUAACGGCUUACCAAGGCAACGAUGCGUAGCCGACCUGAGAGGGUGAUCGGCCACACUGGAACUGAGUCACGGUCCAGACUCCUACGGGAGGCAGCAGUAGGGAAUCUUCCGCAAUGGGCGAAAGCCUGACGGAGCGACGCCGCGUGAGUGAUGAAGGUCUUCGGAUCGUAAAACUCUGUUAUUAGGGAAGAACAAAUGUGUAAGUAACUAUGCACGUCUUGACGGUACCUAAUCAGAAAGCCACGGCUAACUACGUG